GUCUAGCUGACGAGUCCCGAACGGGACGAAACGCGCGUCCUGGAU
rnacentral:hammerhead_ribozyme from 1 species